GAUGAACGCUGGCGGCGUGCCUAAUACAUGCAAGUCGAGCGGACGGACGAGAAGCUUGCUUCUCUGAUGUUAGCGGCGGACGGGUGAGUAACACGUGGAUAACCUACCUAUAAGACUGGGAUCACUUCGGGAAACCGGAGCUCAUACCGGAUGAUAUUUUGAACCGCAUGGUUCAUCAGUGAAAGACGGUCUUGCUGUCACUUAUAGAUGGAUCCGCGCUGCAUUAGCUAGUUGGUAAGGUAACGGCUUACCAAGGCAACGAUGCAUAGCCGACCUGAGAGGGUGAUCGGCCACACUGGAACUGAGACACGGUCCAGACUCCUACGGGAGGCAGCAGUGGGGAAUCUUCCGCAAUGGGCGAAAGCCUGACGGAGCAACGCCGCGUGUGUGAUGAAGGUCUUCGGAUCGUAAAACUCUGUUAGUAGGGAAGAACAGAUGUGUAAGUAUCUGUGCACAUCUUGACGGUACCUAAUCAGAAAGCCCCGGCUAACUACGUG
rnacentral:rRNA from 1 species